UGGGAACAUGCCUUGAGGUGAGGGGCAACCGUUGGAAACGACGGCUAAUACCGCAUAAUCUCUACGGAGCAAAGGGGGCUUUUAGCUCUCGCCUUUAGAUUGGCCCAAGUGGGAUUAGCUAGUUGGUGAGGUAAUGGCUCACCAAGGCGACGAUCCCUAGCUGGUUUGAGAGGAUGAUCAGCCACACUGGAACUGAGACACGGUCCAGACUCCUACGGGAGGCAGCAGUGGGGAAUAUUGCACAAUGGGCGCAAGCCUGAUGCAGCCAUGCCGCGUGUGUGAAGAAGGCCUUCGGGUUGUAAAGCACUUUCAGUCAGGAGGAAAGGUUAGUAGUUAAUACCUGCUAGCUGUGACGUUACUGACAGAAGAAGCACCGGCUAACUCCGUGCCAGCAGCCGCGGUAAUACGGAGGGUGCGAGCGUUNAUCGGAAUUACUGGGCGUAAAGCGUACG
rnacentral:rRNA from 1 species